rnacentral:rRNA from 1 species
ACGGGAGGCAGCAGUGGGGGAUAUUGCACAAUGGGGGAAACCCUGAUGCAGCGACGCCGCGUGAGCGAAGAAGUAUUUCGGUAUGUAAAGCUCUAUCAGCAGGGAAGAAAAUGACGGUACCUGACUAAGAAGCUCCGGCUAAAUACGUGCCAGCAGCCGCGGUAAUACGUAUGGAGCAAGCGUUAUCCGGAUUUAUUGGGUUUAAAGGGUGCGCAGGCGGCUUUCUAAGUCAGUGGUUAAAUAGCGGUGCUCAACGCCGUCCCGCCAUUGAUACUGGAGAGCUUGAUUGCGGUCGAGGUUUGCGGAAUUCGUCGUGUAGCGGUGAAAUGCAUAGAUAUGACGAAGAACACCGAUUGCGUAGGCAGCAGACCAGGCCGUAAAUGACGCUCAUGCACGAAAGUGCGGGGAUCGAACAGGAUUAGAUACCCUGGUA